AAGUCAGCAGUCUGCAAGCUGGAAGAGGGUCCUCACCAGAACCAACCCUGCCGGUACCCUGAUCUCAGAUGUCCAGUCUCCGGAACUGUGAGAAAUACAUGUCUGUUGUUUAUACGCCACUUAGUCUAAGGCACUUUGUUAUAGCAGCCUGAACUAAGACAAAGAGUGACCCGUCCUGUGAGGUUGGAGCCUAAGGAGGGUGCCACGUGGGGAACAGCUGGCUUGCAAAGGAUGUCACAGCCUGAGUGGAGUGAGGACUUCAACAGCAGCUGCCUCUAGUUGAUGAGAAGCAGAUGCUCUGAGCCUCCUGCAAGAGUUAAUGAUUACAACAGCCCAAGGGCGUCUGAACCAAAGGACAAGCAGGCGGCACCUUACUGACUCAGACUUGUGUAAAUGCAGGACACAUGUUCCCAGGACAACUCAGCCAAGUUCCAGAAAGGAGAGGUUUUCAUGCAAGCUCCUAGGAUUCACUCCCUAAAGCCGUUCUUGCUGAAGAGGAUUCUGCACUUAAAAUGUAAACUCCAAGCAAUCGCAGAUGGAAAGACAGAAUUCUUUGUAAUGAGCAGAUCAGCAAAGAUAUCAAGAGUUUCUCCUUGUGGGUCAGACAACAUGGGAUGAGGGUCACAGGUAAGAAAACUUCAGAAUUAAUGAUGAGGAACAUAUGGACAGGACUGGACAGGACUGUUUUCAUUAGUCACAGCUGGAUAAGGUUUUCAGCAAUUUCAGAGAUUGGGUGACUGUGGAACAGCGUUGUAAUAUAUUUUCUCUGCCAUGGUAGAAAUGUUCUCUAUCUGCACUAAUACAGCAGCACUAGCUACAUGUGGCUAUUGAGCACGUGAAAUGUGACUAGUGCAACUGAGGGUCUGCAUUUUUAAUUUUACUUAAUUUUCAUUAAUCAAAAUAUUUCAAUAGGCCCGUGUAGCUACUGACUACCACAGCAGACAGCGCAGCUCUACAGAAUUUGUGAUCACUGUAUAAUUGACUGCCGGUGUACUGUGUGAGGUAUUUUGGUUGUUUUCAAUUGUCUCAGAUAAUCAAAAAAAUAUUUCUUGUAUAAAUAAAAGUCUUAGUUAAAGAACCCUU